rnacentral:rRNA from 1 species
GACGAACGCUGGCGGCGUGCUUAACACAUGCAAGUCGAACGGAAAGGCCCUGCUUUUGUGGGGUGCUCGAGUGGCGAACGGGUGAAACACGUGAGUAACCUGCCCUUGACUUUGGGAUAACUUCAGGAAACUGGGGCUAAUACCGGAUAGGAGCUCCUGCUGCAUGGUGGGGGUUGGAAAGUUUCGGCGGUUGGGGAUGGACUCGCGGCUUAUCAGCUUGUUGGUGGGGUAGUGGCUUACCAAGGCUUUGACGGGUAGCCGGCCUGAGAGGGUGACCGGCCACAUUGGGACUGAGAUACGGCCCAGACUCCUACGGGAGGCAGCAGUGGGGAAUAUUGCACAAUGGGCGGAAGCCUGAUGCAGCAACGCCGCGUGCGGGAUGACGGCCUUCGGGUUGUAAACCGCUUUCGCCUGUGACGAAGCGUGAGUGACGGUAAUGGGUAAAGAAGCACCGGCUAACUACGUG